UCCCUGGUAGCUCAGAUGGUAAAGCAUCUGCCUACAAUGCAGGAGACCCUGGUUUGAUCCCUGAGUUGGGAA
rfam:Ovis aries breed Texel chromosome 17, whole genome shotgun sequence.